UGCAGUCGAGCGGACUUGAAGGAGUGCUUGCACUCCUGAGNAGUUAGCGGCGGACGGGUGAGUAACACGUAGGCAACCUGCCCUCAAGACUGGGAUAACUACCGGAAACGGUAGCUAAUACCGGAUAAUUUAUUACAUAGCAUUAUGUNAUAAUGAAAGACGGAGCAAUCUGUCACUUGGGGAUGGGCCUGCGGCGCAUUAGCUAGUUGGUGGGGUAANGGCCCACCAAGGCGACGAUGCGUAGCCGACCUGAGAGGGUGAACGGCCACACUGGGACUGAGACACGGCCCAGACUCCUACGGGAGGCAGCAGUAGGGAAUCUUCCGCAAUGGGCGAAAGCCUGACGGAGCAACGCCGCGUGAGUGAUGAAGGUUUUCGGAUCGUAAAGCUCUGUUGCCAAGGAAGAACGUCUCAUAGAGUAACUGCUAUGAGAGUGACGGUACUUGAGAAGAAAGCCCCGGCUAACUACGUGCCAGCAGCCGCGGUAAUACGUAG
rnacentral:rRNA from 1 species